rnacentral:snRNA from 1 species
GGAUGUGAGGGCUAUCUGGCUGCAACACCUGUCACCCCAUUGAUGGCCAUGGUUGAUUCAGCUGAUUUGGCUGGUUAGGUGGGUGUCCCCUUCCUCCCUCAAAGCUCCAUGUGCAUCCCUCUGAAAGCUGCGGGCUAGGUCAAAGAGGACCACCUUCCCCGAUAGAGUAGGACCAAUCAAGGGUAUAUGAAUAGUUGUGCUUCCCUGCUAGAACCUCCAAACAAGCUCUCAAGAACAAGAGUAGAAGAGAAUUUCUGCUCAAAUUUUUUUUAACAUAGAACUCAAAAAUCAAACUGGAAUUAUGUU